GACGAACGCUGGCGGCGUGCUUAACACAUGCAAGUCGAACGGAAAGGCCCUGCUUUUGUGGGGUGCUCGAGUGGCGAACGGGUGAGUAACACGAGAGUAACCUGCCCUUGACUUUGGGAUAACUUCAGGAAACUGGGGCUAAUACCGGAUAGGAGCUCCUGCUGCAUGGUGGGGGUUGGAAAGUUUCGGCGGUUGGGGAUGGACUCGCGGCUUAUCAGCUUGUUGGUGGGGUAGUGGCUUACCAAGGCUUUGACGGGUAGCCGGCCUGAGAGGGUGACCGGCCACAUUGGGACUGCGGUACGGCCCAGACUCCUACGGGCGGCAGCAGUGGGGAGUAUUGCACAAUGGGCGGAAGCCUGAUGCAGCAACGCCGCGUGCGGGAUGACGGCCUUCGGGUUGUAAACCGCUUUCGCCUGUGACGAAGCGUGAGUGACGGUAAUGAGUAAAGAAGCACCGGCUAACUACGUG
rnacentral:rRNA from 1 species